rnacentral:rRNA from 1 species
GUCCACGCCCUAAAACGAUGCCAACUAGGUGUUGGGGGAAGGACACUUCCUUAGUACCGUAGCUAACGCGUGAAGUUGGCCGCCUGUGGAGUACGGUCGCAAGAUUAAAACUCAAAGGAAUUGACGGGGACCCGCACAAGCGGUGGAUGAUGUGGAUUAAUUCGAUGCAACGCGAAAAACCUUACCUACCCUUGACAUGCCAGGAACUUUCCAGAGAUGGAUUGGUGCCCGAAAGGGAGCCUGGACACAGGUGCUGCAUGGCUGUCGU